UACGUAGGGGGCUAGCGUUGUCCGGAUUUAUUGGGCGUAAAGAGCGUGUAGGCGGCCAGGUAGGUCUGGUGUGAAAACUCGAGGCUCAACCUCGAGAGGUCGGUGGAAACCGUCUGGCUAGAGUCCGGAAGAGGAGAGUGGAAUUCCCGGUGUAGCGGUGAAAUGCGCAGAUAUCAGGAGGAACACCGGUGGCGAAGGCGGGUCUCUGGGCCGAUACUGACGCUGAGGAGCGAAAGCGUGGGGAGCGAACAGG
rnacentral:rRNA from 1 species